rnacentral:rRNA from 1 species
UACGUAGGGUGCGAGCGUUGUCCGGAAUUAUUGGGCGUAAAGGGCUCGUAGGCGGUCUGUUGCGUCGGGAGUGAAAACUCAGGGCUUAACCCUGAGCCUGCUUCCGAUACGGGCAGACUAGAGGUAUGCAGGGGAGAACGGAAUUCCUGGUGUAGCGGUGAAAUGCGCAGAUAUCAGGAGGAACACCGGUGGCGAAGGCGGGUCUCUGGGCCGAUACUGACGCUGAGGCGCGAAAGCGUGGGGAGCAAACAGG